CUCUUAUCCAGAGUGGUGGAGGGACUGGCCCGAUGAAACCCGGCAACCGCUUUCCUUCAAGGCUUUGCGGCCCCGGCGCAAAGCCCGGUACAAAGGAAGGUAUGGUGCCAAUUCCUGCAGAAGAUUUAUCUUCUGACAGAUAAGAG
rnacentral:ncRNA from 2 species